rnacentral:rRNA from 1 species
AAUCAACGCUGGCGGCGUGCCUAACACAUGCAAGUCGAGCGCGAAAGGGGAGCAAUCCCCAAGUAGAGCGGCGAACGGGUGAGUAACGCGUGGGUAAUCUGCCUCCGAGUGGGGAACAACACCGGGAAACUGGUGCUAAUACCGCAUGACAUCGUUGGACCUUCGGAUCUGACGAUCAAAGCCGGGGACCGGCAAGGCCUGGCGCUUGGAGAGGAGCCCGCGUCCGAUUAGCUAGUUGGUGGGGUAAUGCCCACCAAGGCUACGAUCGGUAGCCGGCCUGAGAGGGCGGACGGCCACACUGGGACUGAGACACGGCCCAGACUCCUACGGGAGGCAGCAGUGGGGAAUUUUUCGCAAUGGGCGAAAGCCUGACGAAGCAACGCCGCGUGGAGGAUGAAGGCC